rnacentral:rRNA from 1 species
AUGGAUUGGCCAGCUCUCACCUGCUACACUGCGGCCCUGAUCAUCCUCUUCCUGCCGUUGCGGGCAUCCGAUGACCGGCUUGUCCCCGGCGAGCGGCUCUUCCCUGGCACCACCAUCGUUUCCGAUGACGGUGCCUUCGCCUUGGGCUUCUUCAGCCCCUCCAACUCCACUCCGGCCAGCCUGUACUUGGGCAUAUGGUACAACGGCAUACCGGAGCUCACCGUCGUGUGGGUCGCCAACAGGGAGACGUCGGUCAUCAACGACACUUCCUCUGCGCCGACACUCUCCCUCACCAACAACUCCAACCUUGUUCUCUCUGAUGCUAGCAGCGGCCGUGUCAUUUGGACGACUGAUGUGGCCGCUGCCUCAAGCUCCAUUGCAGCAGCGGCGGUGCUUGAGAACACCGGCAAUCUCGUCGUUCGGUCGUCGAAUGGCACCACGUUGUGGCAGAGCUUUGACCACGUCACUGACACGUUCCUCCCUGAAAUGAAGAUACGGAUCAGAUAUGCCACCCGUGGCAUCGGCAUCCGUCUGGUGUCCUGGAAGGGGCCCGAGGACCCAUCGCUCGGGCGCUUCUCCUACGGAGGUGACCCGGACACGCUCCUUCAGUUAUUCCUCUGGGAUGGGACGCGCCCGGUGGGCCGCACCAGCCCUUGGACCGGAUACUUGGUAAAAGGCGAGCACCAAUACCGGAAGGUUAACGGCAGCACAGCGGUGAUCAUCUACAUGGCCAUCGUCGACAAUGACGAGGAGAUCUACACCACUUACACUGUCUCUGCCGGUGCCCCACACACAAGGUAUGUGGUGACUUACACUGGAGAUUACCAGCUCCAGAGCUGGAGCACCAGCUCCUCGUCAUGGGUUAUCCUCGCCAAUUGGCCAUCCCCUGAAUGCAACCGAUAUGGCUUCUGUGGUCCGUAUGGCUAUUGUGACCAGACAGCGAUGCCCAUGCCGAUGUGCAAGUGCCUUGACGGCUUCGAGCCAGCAAGCACGGAUGAAUGGGCAGCUGGUAGGUUCUCGGCAGGGUGCCGACGAAAGGAGGCAUUGCACGGAUGCAGUGACAACUUCUUGGCCUUGAUGGAGAUGAAGGCGCCAGACAAGUUCAUGUUUGCUGGAGGAAACAUGAGCACAAUGGAGGAGUGUGCGGCGGAGUGCAGGAACAACUGCUCCUGUGUGGCGUACGCAUACUCCAACCUGAGCAGCGGCAGGUCUGGAGGAGACGUGACAAGGUGCUUAGUAUGGGCGGGGGAGUUGAUUGACACCGGGAGGUUCGCCGAAGGGCUUGGCAGCGCCACGCUAUAUCUCCGCCUUGCAGGCUUAGAUGUAGCAGCUGGUAAAAGGAGAAAGAGUACUGCAACUAUAAUUAUGCUGGCAAUUUUAGGAACUGGAGCUGUGGUAUUCCUAUGCAUUUUCGUGGCAUGGCUAAAAUUCAAAGGCAAGAAAAAAUGGAGAAAACACAAGAAGGCAACAUUUGAUAGUAUGAGUACCUCUUAUGAACUUGGGGAAGGAAACCCACCACAUGCCCAUGAAUUUCCAUUUGUAAGUUUUGACGAAAUUUCUCUAGCAACGAACAAUUUCUCCAAGACAUGUAUGAUUGGACAGGGAGGAUUUGGCAAGGUCUACAAGGGAUUAUUAGGUGGACAAGAAGUUGCUGUCAAGAGACUAAGUAGUGACUCUCAGCAAGGAGUAAAGGAGUUCAGGAACGAAGUAAUUCUGAUUGCUAAAUUGCAACACAGAAACUUGGUUCGGCUUCUUGGAUGUUGUGGAGAGGGAGAUGAAAAGUUGUUGAUCUAUGAGUAUCUUCCGAACAAAAGCUUAGAUGCUACCCUUUUUGAUGAUUCAAGAAGAUUGAUGUUGGAUUGGACAACACGGUUUAAUAUUAUCAAAGGGGUUGCAAGGGGACUUUUGUAUCUUCACCAGGAUUCAAGGCUAACUAUAAUUCACAGGGAUCUCAAAGCUGGAAAUGUUUUGCUGGAUGUGGAGAUGAAACCCAAGAUAGCAGACUUUGGUAUGGCGAGGAUCUUUGGCGAUAACCAACAAAAUGCGAGCACCCAACGUGUUGUGGGAACAUAUGGAUACAUGGCCCCAGAAUAUGCAAUGGAAGGCGUCUUCUCCACCAAGUCCGAUGUCUACAGCUUUGGUGUGCUAGUACUUGAGGUUGUGACUGGUAUAAAAAGAAGCUCCAAUAGUCACAUCAUGGGCUUCCCGAGCCUCAUUGUGUAUUCAUGGAAUAUGUGGAGGGAAGGAAAGACAGAGGAUUUGGUGGACACAUAUAUCAUGGAUACUUGUUCACUGGAUGAAGUUUUGAUUUGCAUCCAUGUAGCACUCCUGUGUGUCCAGGACAAUCCAGAUGACAGGCCACUCAUGUCGUCCGUUGUGUUCGUCCUAGAGAACGGAAGCAGCACACUUCCACCCCCUACUUGUCCUGCCUACUUUACACGAAGAAGCGCCUACUUUACACGACGAAGCGCAGAAAUGGAGCAAAUUAGAGAUGAUAUCCUGAACUCUGGGACUAGUUUUACUCUCACUGAGAUUGAGAGGAGAUGA